rnacentral:tRNA from 1 species
CCCGUCGCGGCCUGCGUGGUAGAGGCGCCUCGCCGAUAACGAGGAGACAGCUGGUUCGACUCCAGCCGACGGGAC